AUGUGUCAGUGUGCAUGCAUGAGUGUACUGUGUGCUUACACACGUGAGCAUUCAUGAACACAUGAACAUGUGCAUGUCUGAAUCCAUGUGUGAGCAUGUGCAUGUGAAUAUACAUAUGUGAGCAUUUGAGUGUCUUCAUAUUUACACG
rnacentral:sRNA from 1 species